UUGUUUCUACAUGAAGCUGAUACCCUCAUAGACAUGCCAAAGACUGGCAGCAUCAUAGCGGUCAGUGUCAAACCAGAGAAAGCCCUUGAGAUGUCAGCAGGUCAGGUAGCACCCGGGGUACCAGACGAAAUGUGCCUGCCUCCUAUACCAUCUUAAAUGAAGCCAAAUCUGAACACCACAGGCAUAAAACAUGUACUCCGCCAGCACAGAAAUACUUCCACAUGCCAGAAAUAAAGAACAGAUGUGCCGCA
rnacentral:lncRNA from 1 species